GCAUAUCAAUAAGCGGAGGAAAAGAAACUAACAAGGAUUCCCCUAGUAACGGCGAGUGAAGCGGGAAGAGCUCAAAUUUGAAAUCUGGUGGCCUCAGGUCAUCCGAGUUGUAAUCUAUAGAAGUGUUUUCCGUGCUGGCUCAUGUACAAGUCCCUUGGAACAGGGCGUCAUAGAGGGUGAGAAUCCCGUCCUUGACAUGAACUACCAGUGCUCUGUGAUACAUUUUCAACGAGUCGAGUUGUUUGGGAAUGCAGCUCAAAAUGGGUGGUAAAUUCCAUCUAAAGCUAAAUAUUGGCGAGAGACCGAUAGCGAACAAGUACCGUGAGGGAAAGAUGAAAAGCACUUUGGAAAGAGAGUUAAACAGUAUGUGGAAUUGUUGAAAGGGAAACGAUUGAAGUCAGUCGUGCUCUUUGGAUUCAGCCGGUUCUGCCGGUGUACUUCCUUUGAGUGGGGUCAACAUCAGUUUUGAUCGCUGGAUAAAGGCUGGAGGAACGUAGUACCCUCGGGUAAACUUAUAGCCUCCUGUCACAUACAGCGGUUGGGACUGAGGAACGCAGCACGCCUUUAUGGCCGGGAUUCGUCCACGUACGUGCUUAGGAUGUUGACAUAAUGGCUUUAAACGACCCGUCUUGAAACACGGACC
rnacentral:rRNA from 1 species